UGGAACUGUGUAACCAUCAUCACAAUCCAAUUUUAGAACAUUUACAUCAGUUCAAAUCAAUCCCUCAUGCCCAUUGGCUGGAGCCCAUUCCUACCUCCACCUCUGUCAACCACUAAUCCACCUGUGUCCAGAGAUUUGCCUUUCUGGACAUUUCCUAGAAAUGGAUCAUCACAAAAUGUUUUAAUUUUGAUGAAGUCUAACAGCAUGAUUUGCACCUUGCUCUAUGAUCUGUUUUCAAUUUUUCUGGCGUAUAAUGUGAGCAAACAAAUUAAAGGUAUAAAAACUGAGAAGCGAUGGAGCAGCAGGUGGAAGAAAGGAGGCGAGGAACCUGCAAGUAUAAUCAUAUAAACAUCAAGAUUGCUUGAUGUGAAAAUAGAUAAUGCUUCUACUUUCUUAUGAUCAGGAAAAAUAACCCAGGACGAUAAAAAGCUCUCCAAUGCUGUUGCAGAGAAUAGCGAUGAAUGAAAACUCCAGUGAGCACUGGUAGCCCUCUAUAUCUCUGGCGAUACACUGUCUCCUGAUGGGAUGCAAAUAAAACAUGUGGUGUCAUGAAAUAUUCUUGCCAAAAUUGUUUAACCUAAAUCUAAUCAAGUUUUAGAUACAACUCCCAUAAAACGUGAAGUGUUACCUUUUGUCUCUAGGUCUGCAAACUCAUAGGCUAACUAAAGACCACCUCUGCACCUUCUGGAAUAUUCUCUUUUGGGAUAUUUGGCAUCUCCCUUCAUACAUAUGAUAGAGGAGCAGCAAUGAAAUCAAGUUGCUAUGUUACAACGGGAAAACACAUCCUCCUUGCUCCCUAACCACCAAAUGAAACCACAGACAGCUUCUCUUCUUAGAUUAUAAAUCCUUCUCUCCAACUGACAUUGGAAAGUCUGACUCAGUAAAAAUGUGGGGUGUGUGUGUGUGUGCGCCUGUGUGUGUAAAGAAAUCUUCUUUACAAUUCUUCUAAUCUGACAUGUAUAAAGGCACUUUAGUUCUGAAAACAAUUGGUUCAUUCUAAACCAAGUGGAUGAGCAGGUAAGAGGACAUUGUUGUCUUUAAGAGCAUAGCUUUUGACUGGGGUUACCUUAUUUGGAAGAAUCUGAAAUGUUGCUAAGGCUCCCUGUGGCUCUAUGACUGAUGGAGAACAUCUGAUACCAGUUUACAGAUUCCAUGAUUCAUUAAAGGAUUUAGGUCUGUUUCUACUCCUUUAGCGCCCUGUCUUUACCCUAAAGAUUUCCGCACAGAUUUCAGCAUUUUCCUAAA
ensembl:lncRNA